rnacentral:rRNA from 1 species
GAUGAACGCUGGCGGCGUGCCUAAUACAUGCAAGUCGAGCGAACGGACGAGAAGCUUGCUUCUCUGAUGUUAGCGGCGGACGGGUGAGUAACACGUGGAUAACCUACCUAUAAGACUGGGAUAACUUCGGGAAACCGGAGCUAAUACCGGAUAAUAUUUUGAACCGCAUGGUUCAAAAGUGAAAGACGGUCUUGCUGUCACUUAUAGAUGGAUCCGCGCUGCAUUAGCUAGUUGGUAAGGUAACGGCCUACCAAGGCAACGAUGCAUAGCCGACCUGAGAGGGUGAUCGGCCACACUGGAACUGAGACACGGUCCAGACUCCUACGGGAGGCAGCAGUAGGGAAUCUUCCGCAAUGGGCGAAAGCCUGACGGAGCAACGCCGCGUGAGUGAUGAAGGUCUUCGGAUCGUAAAACUCUGUUAUUAGGGAAGAACAUAUGUGUAAGUAACUGCGCACAUCUUGACGGUACCUAAUCAGAAAGCCACGGCUAACUACGUG